rnacentral:rRNA from 1 species
GACGACGCUGGCGGCGUGCUUAACACAUGCAAGUCGAACGGAGUUACGUAUGAAGUAUUUCGGUACGGACUAUGUAACUUAGUGGCGAACGGGUGAGUAACACGUGGGCAACCUGCCUUAACCGGGGGAUAACAUUGUGAAAACAGUGCUAAUACCGCAUAACAGAGUAUCGGGCAUCCGAUAUUUUUAAAAGGAGCAAUCCGGUUUAGGAUGGGCCCGCGUCCAAUUAGCUAGUUGGUGAGGUAACGGCUCACCAAGGCUACGAUUGGUAGCCGAACUGAGAGGUUGAUCGGCCACAUUGGGACUGAGACACGGCCCAGACUCCUACGGGAGGCAGCAGUGGGGAAUAUUGGGCAAUGGGCGAAAGCCUGACCCAGCGACGCCGCGUGAAGGAUGAAGGUCUUCGGAUUGUAAACUUCUUUGAUCAGGGAAGAAAGAAAUGACGGUACCUGAAGAACAAGCCACGGCUAACUACGUG